AUUGAACGCUGGCGGCAGGCUUAACACAUGCAAGUCGAGCGGGGGAAGGUAGCUUGCUACCGGACCUAGCGGCGGACGGGUGAGUAAUGCUUAGGAAUCUGCCUAUUAGUGGAGGACAACAUCUCGAAAGGGAUGCUAAUACCGCAUACGUCCUACGGGAGAAAGCAGGGGAUCUUCGGACCUUGCGCUAAUAGAUGAGCCUAAGUCGGAUUAGCUAGUUGGUGGGGUAAAGGCCUACCAAGGCGACGAUCUGUAGCGGGUCUGAGAGGAUGAUCCGCCACUCUGGGACUGAGACACGGCCCAGACUCCUACGGGAGGCAGCAGUGGGGAAUAUUGGACAAUGGGGGGAACCCUGAUCCAGCCAUGCCGCGUGUGUGAAGAAGGCCUUAUGGUUGUAAAGCACUUUAAGCGAGGAGGAGGCUACUCUAGUUAAUACCUAGGGAUAGUGGACGUUACUCGCAGAAUAAGCACCGGCUAACUCUGUGCCAGCCGCCGCGGUAA
rnacentral:rRNA from 1 species